ACGCUAGCUACAGGCUUAACACAUGCAAGUCGAGGGGAAACGACAUCGAAAGCUUGCUUUUGAUGGGCGUCGACCGGCGCACGGGUGAGUAACGCGUAUCCAACCUGCCCACCACUUGGGGAUAACCUUGCGAAAGUAAGACUAAUACCCAAUGACGUCUCUAGAAGACAUCUGAAAGAGAUUAAAGAUUUAUCGGUGAUGGAUGGGGAUGCGUCUGAUUAGCUUGUUGGCGGGGUAACGGCCCACCAAGGCGACGAUCAGUAGGGGUUCUGAGAGGAAGGCCCCCCACAUUGGAACUGAGACACGGUCCAAACUCCUACGGGAGGCAGCAGUGAGGAAUAUUGGUCAAUGGACGAGAGUCUGAACCAGCCAAGUAGCGUGCAGGAUGACGGCCCUAUGGGUUGUAAACUGCUUUUAUAAGGGAAUAAAGUGAGUCUCGUGAGACUUUUUGCAUGUACCUUAUGAAUAAGGACCGGCUAAUUCCGUGCCAGCAGCCGCGGUAAUACGGAAGGUCCGGGCGUUAUCCGGAUUUAUUGGGUUUAAAGGGAGCGUAGGCCGGAGAUUAAGCGUGUUGUGAAAUGUAGACGCUCAACGUCUGCACUGCAGCGCGAACUGGUUUCCUUGAGUACGCACAAAGUGGGCGGAAUUCGUGGUGUAGCGGUGAAAUGCUUAGAUAUCACGAAGAACUCCGAUUGCGAAGGCAGCUCACUGGAGCGCAACUGACGCUGAAGCUCGAAAGUGCGGGUAUCGAACAGGAUUAGAUACCCUGGUAGUCCGCACGGUAAACGAUGGAUGCCCGCUGUUGGUCUGAAUAGGUCAGCGGCCAAGCGAAAGCAUUAAGCAUCCCACCUGGGGAGUACGCCGGCAACGGUGAAAC
rnacentral:rRNA from 1 species